ACCCGUCUUGAAACACGGACCAAGGAGUCUAACAUACGCGCGAGUUUACGAGUGGAAAACUCGUGGGCGGAAUGAAAGUGAAGUCGUUCUUUUCGGACGAUUCGAUACGAUCCGUCGGCCAUUUCGGUCGGCGGCGGAGUAUCGUCCCGUCUGUGCGGUUCGUCCGCUCGGCGGAGAAUGAGCGCGCAUGUUGGGACCCGAAAGAUGGUGAACUAUGCUUGAGCAGAACGAAGCCAGAGGAAACUCUGGUGGAGGUUCGUAGCGGUUCUGACGUGCAAAUCGAUCGUCAGACUUGAGUAUAGGGGCGAAAGACUAAUCGAACCAUCUAGUAGCUGGUUCCUCCGA
rnacentral:rRNA from 1 species